ACCAUUCAACCGUGACCCGGUGAA
rnacentral:snRNA from 1 species